AGGCAUACGAUUGUCGCCCAAAUUUGAAUUUUGAUCACGCAGGACCAUCGUCUGUGCGGGUUACCCUGACGAAAUCCCCAACUCUAUUCGACACAAAAGAACAAUCCCUAAACCAAAUUCCCCGACGACGUCAUCGCUCGCACUACCGUAGCCGCCAUGACAGCUCUGUCGAGUUAGUAAAGAAGAGCUCAAGGUCAAUGAAGUUUUGCUUUGGUUGUUUGUCAUCAGUUUCUGAUAUAACGCAAAUCUGGAGAUGCCGAAGACCAAGAGGAUGAGGGAGACGUUGAAGACGAGGGUUGAUGAUGUGACCGCAUGGGGAAAAUCCCAGAAACUGGAGAACAUCUCUUCUAGGGGCUCUCCCCACCGCAGGAUAUCGCCGUCAAUGGCUACCGCUGCAACAAACGCCCUCCCUUCUUUGGAGUUGUUGGCCUAUGCUCUGCCGCCAAGGAGACUCACCCUCGCUCCCAAUCAGUAUAAGUACUGCUCAUUGGCUCUCAAAUUCUUCAAGGACAAGCUCCGGAUGCCUGAACAGAUCAAACAAGAGUGGGAUCAGUUAGAUGCCAUUUAUAUAAUACAAUCUGAGGUGGAGAAGCGUUGCACUGUGGCUUUCAACAAUUUCAAUUUUAGCAAAAACCGUUAUGAUGACUACGUAGCGUUUGACGAAAAUAUGGUUGUUCUCAACUAUUCUGCCGCAGGAGACUACAUCAAUGCUAGCUUCAUCACAUCAUGUUCCUCUUCUUUUAUUGCAACACAAGGUCCACUUUCAGAGACCUUUGAGGAUUUUUGGGAGAUGGUAAUCCAGUACCGUUGUUCUGUAGUUGUCGUGCUUACUGAUUUGGAUGAUAAUAAAUGUGGAGAUUAUUUUCAGGCAGAAGGUGAUGAUGGCCAUAGAGAAUUUGGGAAUAUAUGUCGAUAAGAAGUAGUGAAUUUGGAGAUGGUAAUUCAGUAGUGUUGCGCCCUUUGGAGGUGAAGAAGCAUAAGGAAGAGUCAGACUCAGAGGAAGCACCUAUGUCUGUUUUGCAUAUUCUGUAUCCUCAAUGGCCUGACCAUGGAGUUCCCGAAAACACAAUUGCUGUUCGUGAAAUUUUGAAAAGAGCAAUGUAUCAAGUAGCACCUGCCAUACCCGACUCCAGUCCAAUUGUGGUACACUGCAGUGCAGGUGUUGGGAGAACUGGAAACAUAUUGCACAAUUCAUGACACAUUGCAGAGAAUUAUUUCUGGGGACAUGUCUGCUUUAGAUUUAGUUAAUACAAUAACCAGAUUUAGGUCUCAGCGAGAUGGAAUGGUCCAGAAACCGGAGCAAUACUCUUUUUGUUAUGAUGCCAUUAUUGAUGAAUUAGAAGACCUCAUCUCGGAUCUAGUUGAAUAGUGAAAUCAACAAAACUAAAGUACUUGCAUUUGACAAGGAGACGAGGCCCAAUGCUGCUACCUACACUGCUGUGUUAUAGGGCAAAGAGCUUGUGCAGGUGAUGAUGGGGGUUUCGUGAUGUUCUUUUUGGUUUUGAAUGUUGGCUGCUUUUUUUUUUUUUUUUUUUUUUUCCUACUCGUGGGAGUGAGUGAUGCAGGACAACAAAAGAAGAAAAAAAGAACUUGAUUAAUUUGACUACAUGAUGCCAAGCUAAAUUUUAAAAUAAUUUA